rnacentral:tRNA from 3 species
CGGAGCGUGGCGCAGUCUGGUAGCGCACCUGCUUUGGGAGCAGGAAGUCGCUGGUUCGAAUCCAGUCGCUCCGACCA